GCAUAUCAAUAAGCGGAGGAAAAGAAAAUAACAAUGAUUCCCUUAGUAACGGCGAGUGAAGAGGGACAAGCUCAAAUUUUAAAUCUGUUUGGUUAUACUAAACAGAGUUGUAAUUUGAAGAAACGUUUUCUGCGUCUUGAAUUAGCCUAAAUCCUUUGGGAUAAGGUAUCAUGGAGGGUGACAAUCCCGUUCAUGGUUAAUUUUAAGGUGCUUUAUGAUACGUUUUCCAAGAGUCGAGUUGUUUGGGAUUGCAGCUCAAAAUGGGAGGUAAAUUUCUCCUAAAGCUAAAUAUUGGCGAGAGACCGAUAGCGAACAAGUACCGUGAGGGAAAGAUGAAAAGAACUUUGAAAAGAGAGUUAAACAGUACGUGAAAUUGUUGAAAGGGAAACGAUUGAAGUCAGUCGUACAGUCAUCAAUUCAGCGGUUAACAUUUUUAUGUUUCCGUGUAAUUUGGUGUCUGUUGGUUAGCAUCAAUUUUGAUUGUUAUAAAAAGGUUUAAGGGGAUGUGGCUCCUUCGGGAGUGUUAUAACCCUUAGCGUAAUGUGACGAUUAGGAUUGAGGUUUGCAACGAAUACCUUUUAGGGCAGUUUCACCUGGCCUCUCGUGGAAUUAUAGAUAGUUAAGAGCAUGCUCUUACUGUCUAUGAUUCUACGAAAAGGUUGGAGUGUAAAACUAAUUCGUUAAGGAUGUUGACGUA
rnacentral:rRNA from 1 species